rnacentral:rRNA from 1 species
UACGAAGGGGGCUAGCGUUGCUCGGAAUCACUGGGCGUAAAGCGCACGUAGGCGGAUUGUUAAGUCAGGGGUGAAAUCCUGGAGCUCAACUCCAGAACUGCCUUUGAUACUGGCGAUCUUGAGUCCGGGAGAGGUGAGUGGAACUCCGAGUAUAGAGGUGAAAUUCGUAGAUAUUCGGAAGAACACCAGUGGCGAAGGCGGCUCACUGGCCCGGUACUGACGCUGAGGUGCGAAAGCGUGGGGAGCGAACAGG